AACAAGGCGUACCUGCGGACCUGCGGAAGGAUCAUUACCGAGUUUACAACUCCCAAACCCCUGUGAACAUACCUAUACGUUGCCUCGGCGGAUCAGCCCGCGCCCCGUAAAACGGGACGGCCCGCCCGAGGACCCUAAACUCUGUUUUUAGUGGAACUUCUGAGUAAAACAAACAAAUAAAUCAAAACUUUCAACAACGGAUCU
rnacentral:misc_RNA from 1 species